rnacentral:tRNA from 1 species
GGUUCCGUAGUGUAGUGGUUAGCACUCUGGACUUUGAAUCCAGCGACCUGGGUUCGACUCCCGCGGGUCCU